UCGCCAGGGAACUACGAGCUAAGCUUAAAACCCAAAGGACUUGACGGUACCCCAUAUCCCCCUAGAGGAGCCUGUCCUAUAAUCGAUAAUCCACGUUUAACCUCACCAUUUCUAGUUUCUCAGCCUGUAUACCUCCGUCGUCAGCUUACCACGUGAGCGUUGAUUAGUGAGCCUAAUGUUUUUUCACCAACACGUCAGGUCAAGGUGCAGCAAAUGAAAUGGGAAGAGAUGGGCUACACUUUCUAUAUUAGAAGAAACGAAAAACUAUUUAUGAAAUCUAGUUGGAAGGCGGAUUUAGCAGUAAAAAGGAAUCAGAAUAUUCAUUUUAACCCGGCACUGGGGUGUGU
rnacentral:rRNA from 1 species